GGGGGUUACGCGGGGAAGUGAAACAUCUCAGUACCCGUAGGAAGAGAAAAUAAUAAUGAUUCUGCUAGUAGUGGCGAACGAACGUGGAUGAGGCUAAACCGUGUGCAUGUGAUACCUGGUAGGGGUUGUGUGUGCGGUGUUGUGGGCCCUGAUGAGGAUGGCUACUGACGUCCUGCCCGCGCAUUGUUGUUAGGUGAAGUGGUGUGGAAACGCCUGCCGUAGAAGGUGAUAGUCCUGUAGCUGAAGAUGAUGGUGUGUGGGUUGUUGGGUUGCCCGAGUAGCAGCGGGCUCGUGGAAUCUGCUGUGAAUCUGCCGGGACCACCCGGUAAGCCUAAAUACUCAGUGUGACCGAUAGUGGAUAGUACCGUGAGGGAAUGGUGAAAAGUACCCCGGGAGGGGAGUGAAAUAGUUCCUGAAACCAUGUGCUUACAAUCCGUCAGAGCACUUUUUGUGUGUGAUGGCGUGCCUUUUGAAGAAUGAGCCUGCGAGUCAGCGGCAUGUCGCGAGGUUAACCCGUGUGGGGUAGCCGUAGGGAAACCGAAUCCUAAUGGGGUGUUUAGUGGCAUGUCCUGGACCCGAAGCGGGGUGAUCUACCCAUGGCCAGUGUGAAGCAGCAGUAAGAUGCUGUGGAGGCGCGAACCCACGUAGGUUGAAAACUGCGGGGAUGAGCUGUGGGUAGGGGUGAAAGGCCAAUCAAACUCCGUGAUAGCUGGUUCUCCCCGAAAUGCAUUUAGGUGCAGCGUCGCAUUAGCUUGGUGGAGGUAGAGCUACUGGUUGGUUGAGCGGGACUACAAUCUUAGCAAUGUCAGCCAAACUCCGAAUGCCAUUAAUGUGUUGUGCGGCAGUGAGACUGUGGGGGAUAAGCUUCAUAGUCGAGAGGGAAACAGCCCAGAUCGCCGGUUAAGGCCCCUAAGGGUGUGCUAAGUGGAAAAGGAUGUGGGAUCGCGAAGACAGCCAGGAGGUUGGCUUAGAAGCAGCCAUCCUUGAAAGAGUGCGUAAUAGCUCACUGGUCGAGUGGUUCUGCGCCGACAAUGUAGUGGGGCUCAAGCACACCGCCGAAGCCGCGGCAAUAAUAUUUUGUUAUUGGGUAGGGGAGCGUCGUGCACGUGUUGAAGCGUUACCGUGAGGAGGCGUGGAGUGUGUGCGAGUGAGAAUGCAGGCAUGAGUAACGAAUUGGAAGGUGAGAAUCCUUCCCGCCGGAUGACUAAGGGUUCCUGGGUCAAGUUCGUCUUCCCAGGGUGAGUCGGGACCUAAGGCGAGGCCGACAGGCGUAGUCGAUGGAUAAC
rnacentral:rRNA from 1 species